UACAGAGGUCUCAAGCGUUGUUCGGAUUCAUUGGGCGUAAAGGGUGUGUAGGUGGCGCCGUAAGUCGGGUGUGAAAUUUCGGAGCUUAACUCCGAAACUGCAUUCGAUACUGCGGUGCUUGAGAACUGGAGAGGAGACUGGAAUUCAUGGUGUAGCAGUGAAAUGCGUAGAGAUCAUGAGGAAGACCAGUGGCGAAGGCGGGUCUCUGGACAGUUCCUGACACUGAGACACGAAGGCCAGGGGAGCAAACGGG
rnacentral:rRNA from 1 species